rnacentral:tRNA from 1 species
AGCCCUGGGGUGUAAACACGUCAGAUUGCAAAUCUGAAGAAGCAGAGUAAUUAUCUGCCGGGGCUU